rnacentral:lncRNA from 1 species
ACACCAAUUUUAGUAGCUACUGAUGUGGCGGCACGUGGUCUUGAUAUACCGCAUGUGGCUCAUGUAGUCAACUUUGAUCUCCCUAAUGACAUUGAUGAUUAUGUACAUCGGAUAGGAAGGACAGGACGAGCUGGGAAAUCAGGAUUGGCUACAGCCUUUUUUAACGAGAACAAUUUGUCAUUGGCAAGGCCUCUAGCUGAGCUAAUGCAAGAAUCUAAUCAGGAAGUACCUGCUUGGCUUACUCGUUACGCAUCACGGGCUAAUUAUGGCGGUGGCAAAAAUAAGCGAUCUGGAGGAAACCGUUUUGGUGGUCGUGACUUCAGAAGAGAUGGCUCAUUUACUAGAGGCACAUCUAAUGACUUUUACAGUGGAGUGAAUAGUAGUAGCAAUGCAUAUGGGGUUCCAGGUGGUGGAUAUGGUGGGGGAUAUGGUUAUAGCAAUCCUGGUGUGACCAGUGCAUGGGAUUAAGAUCCCCACCUUACACUGAAAUGUCUUUACAACUGUUCGAGUAUAUAUAUUGUUUUUCUUCAAAAAUUUAUGGAUUAUUCUCUAUCCAUCUUUGUUUACUUCUGUCUUUGGCAAUUCGGUUUCUAGUUUAGGAAAUUCUUUUGCUCUCAGUUUCACGGCAAGGGCUGUGGGCUUAGUCUUAGCUCAACUUAUCAGCUUUGGCGAGGGCUGUGGGCUUAGUGUUAACUCAACUUAUCAGCUUUAACGAAGUUCUGGUGACGUUUGGUUGGAGGUAAAAACUGAAUAGCAUUAGAAAUGUCAAUGGGGAGGGCUUGGAACUGGGUCUCAUUUUUUCCUUUUUGGCAUUUUACAACCAGAGUAUGAUGCAGCAUAGCUUCCCCGACCUGAGUUUAGAAUAUUGAAAGGUUAAAUUUACAGCUGGUUCGCCAAUUCACAUUCGUUUGGCUGAUCAGGGGGUGCGUUGUUUGCAAAAUUUGUUUGUUUGAUGAAAAAUUUUAUCCACAUGGAUAUGUUGAAUCUAAGUUUGAAUUAAUUGACUGAUUCUAUAAGAGAUCUUGUAAGCUGGGGAUGGAUUAAAUCAAUCAACUGGUUGCUUUGCACGUUCGUUGAAAAUCGAUACUAUUGUACCAAUGCUCUCAUGAGUGCAAAAUCUGCUUGCAAUCACCAUGUCUCCCUUUUUUUGUUUGGAUACGAAUAAUGGAAUUAGCAUUCUCAGAAACGAUAAAGAAAGAAUUGGAAGUUUGGAAUUAAAAAAGUAAUUUUCUGAUAUGUCAGUAUUACUUUUUUGAUUUCCUUAUUUCUUUUUCCUUGUGUAAUAAAAUUUGCAAAUUCUACAAGAAGAUUUCUCCCUCCAGUACUCUCCUUGAAGUUGCUUCACGGCAACCCAGCAACAUCAUUUCCAAGCUAAAUUUAAACAGCAAAUGUGGUGGUUUGAAAUUUGGACCCUGGGACAUGAGUGAUGGUAAAACCUGCAGAGAAAAAGAAAAGUAGAUAAUGGAUUCUUGAUUUUUUGCAAGUCAAGAUUUUCAAGUGGAAGUUCUGAAUGAAUUGAAGAAGCUGGAAAAUAUUCUAUUAGCAUAGUUACCAUUUUCUCAUUCUGUGCUCAGUGCAAGUUUGCAAUGGCCAGUGAAUCACUUGAUUUUUUUUUUUUUUUUAACAUGAGACUACUGCUCAAGACUACAACUCAUAUUACAUGAGACUGUAACUGAUAUUUACAAAUCAAAUUAUUACUGGGACAAGAGUACAUUAAUAUCAUAAGAAGCAUUUUAACCAUCACGAAUAAUCGAGAAUGUCUACUCCACUAACAUUUCAUAAGGGAGAAGACCAGCCUCCACUCAAAUUUCAGAGAGCAAUAAGUCUCCAUAUUACUAUAUGGGGACUCGAACUCAAGCGCUCACAAUGUGUGAGAGCUUGAGUUCCAACCACUCGGCCAAAGCUCUGCGAAUCACUUGAUUGCUCAUACUAAACACUCAUCAAAAUAUUCAAUGUUAAUUCGCAUCUUAUAAAAAUUGAUACAAAAUCAUUAAUAAACGUCUUUGAAAAAAAAAUCAUUAUUAAGCAAUCAUGCAACUAAAGCAGAACAUUAACCCAAAGAACACCAACCAUUCCCAACUUAGCUGUAAGGAUAUCUCAUAUAGAUUAUAGAAAGAAACAAACAUAAUUGAAUCAGGACUUAGCAAAUCAAAGGUUGGUAGUCACAGUCAUGCUCGAGUAAAGAAUAACCAAUAGUUAACCACUUUCGAUUAAAAGCACUGACCUCAUGUAAUCAAAAUUCAUAACUUCAUUUCCAAGCAGGUAAAAAUAUUGGCUCCAUUGCAUAAUCAUUAUUCGUUACUCUUCAUCGGACUCAUCCUCCAAUUCUGAGGUUUCCUCGUAGCAUUCGUCACCUGUCUCUAUCUCUUCCUCUUCAGUCUCUUCUUGUUCUGUUUCGUUCUCAAUAUUAUCGUCAAGUGAUAUAUUUAGUGGAGGUAUCAUAUUCACACCUUUAGCACGAUAAAGAAGCCCCAUUCUCAUUACAUGAUAAAAUUUCUUUCUAAGAUUAACAAGAGGAUGCGGAUUCACUAGCUUUCCCCGCUGGUACCCUUCCUUGAGAGUCACGGUAGUUGUCUUACACUUCAGUGAGAGGUAGAAGAUCCCUGGAUACCUGGUGAAUAGUCGAGUAAACUUAUGUGGAAGAUUCAGUUCCUCUCUCAAGCUUCUCAAGUAGUUCCGCUUAGUCUUCUUGUGAAUAGUCAAGCUCAAAAAUUCGUGUAAAAUCCCAACGGCCCGUUUCUCCAUAAGCUCGCUAUUUGGAUCAAUAUUCCUAGAAUCAUCAUAUGGUGAAAUAUAUGGAAGCUUCUGAAACUCAUCCAUCCAUGCUCUCACCUUCUUCUGUGCUCCAUAUCCCCUUGGAAAAUUCAUUGGGAAUGCCAAUGCUGUUUGACCGCUCUUGAAUUGCCUAUACUCAUUACCCAUCUCACUCUUCUCGUUACUUUUCUCCAAUUCAGAAACUGCAAAUUCUUCACGCCAUCGUGAAAGCUGCAAACCCGCAACCCCACUUGAGGUCUUAGCGAAUCGAAAAUCAUCAGAGAAUUUAGGAACUAAUAUCUUCUCAAAAUUAUCUGGCAAACCUAGAUCCCAUUUUAAAGAAUGCAGUGACUGGAGUGGUACUGUCCUAGUCCUCAUCAUCAUAAGUACCCUACACAGCCUCUCCAUGGUAUCAUUCUCAUAAGUAAGGUGUAUUUUCUGCUCAAGUGAGUCCAACAACAGAGCAGUAUCUGUCAGCCGGAAGCAAGGCAAAUUUGCAUAACGGCUAUGAGGAAAUUCAUGAAAAAGAGUAGGAUACCUACAGUAAGCCCAGAAAAUAAUCACCAUAACAACCAUUUUUUUUAAAAGAAAAAACAAAUGGAAUAGAAAAUAUGAUUGUAACCAAUCAAAAAACCAAGCAAAUAGACCAAACAGGUAUGCGAAAAUCCAUUAAAGAAAUAAUUUUCUUUAAGAAAAAGUGAAAGAAAAGAAACCUGCGCAAAAAGCGGAUAACGGGGACAGUGAGGCCAAGGAGCUUGUGCCAAUCAGAGACAGAGUUAGCAGUGAGGAAACCAGUAGAAGAGCGCUUGAUAGCGUCUUUCAAUAAGCAGGCGGCCUUUAGAUCGGUGUCUGUAUCUAUAAUGUGGUCUAGGCCUCGGUUCUUGACCCAUUUUAAACGAACUCUGGUUAUCCAUCGAUUCUGAAGAAGAGUGUUCGCCUUUGCUCCUGAGGGUACUUUAUGUGGUCGUUUCAAAGACAACAGCUUUUCAACUGAGAGGAUUGAAUUUUGGGUUUUGAAGAUCAUCACACAAAGCGAAGAAUUUAAGAUUUAUUGUUAAUAUUAUUGAAUGCUACUUUUACUCGUUUUUUUUUUUUUUUUAAAGUGAAGAGUAAAACACCACGGGGCUGGAUUGCGGGGAAGAAGAAGAAAUGAGAAAGAGAGGGGAAAAAAUGGGAAAUCCCGUCAUUUGUUUUGCUAUUUUAUUAUCAUGACCCGAUAUUUCUCCUUUUCUUACCAAUAGGCCCUUUUUUCUUUUUUUAAUCAAUAACAUCGUCAUCAUCAUCAUUAAAAUAAUUAUUAUUGUUAUGCUCGUAUUGAGCUCUUUGCAACAUUAUCACUAGAGCAUCAAUAACAUGGUUUUUUUUUCAUCAUAGAUUUACCAUCAAAGUUUUGAAUACAAAGUAGAGAUCAUAUGAUAUUAGUACUAAUUCAUAGAGCUCAUAUGAGAAUUCUAAUGACACCACCAAGUAUGACUUAAACAUAUAUUGUCUAUAAAUUUUUGGUGAUGACUAUCAAUAGUUUCAUUUUCUUUUUAAUAAUUUAAAAUACUACUACUUUAAUAUAAACUAUAUUAUAAAAAAGUGUAUACAAUGCCACGCCAAAUAUGGUACCAUACUAUAAUCUAAUCUAAAACGUGAUCCAAUAGAAUCUCCGGUAGGUACACCUUGCUGCACCAAAUGCAACAUUUGCGUGCGCCUAUGUUUGUCAACCCAUGUUUCCUCUUUAGUUUUUUGACAUUCAAUCACAAGUCACAUAUCAUCAAUUAGAUUUCAGUCCUUAAAUCCAACGUUUCAUACUGACCGACUGUAAGUUACUAAUUUAGCCGCAGCCUAUUUCCAAAUAAAACAAAAUUCUCUUAUAUUUAGUGCAGACCACUACACCAGUAACAGAAAGAAGUAUAAAAAAAAAUGAAGAAAGAGAUUUGAUUUCACUCUGAUUUUCAAAUGAAGAUAAAAAACAUUUUCUGCUUUUUUAACUGAUAACUAUGCUUCGUGUUCAAACUUAACUGAAGCACUCGCAUUUCUAACUGUCUUCGUAUUUGUGUUUAAGAAUUUUUUUUGGUUCGAAAUGUUGUUUUUAAGUGUGUUGCUUUUGUUUUUUUUUUUAAUUUAAUAUACUUGCAGCAUAUCAUGCAAAAAAUUUUAAAUUUUUUCAUAAUUUUUGGAUUUUUCAACUUUCAACAUUUUUUUUUUAAAAUUGUUUUGUACAUUUUGCCACCUUUGUACAUUUGGCUAUCUUUCUACCAUCUAUUUUGUUUGGUUAGCUUGAUUAUACUUGCAUUGUUGUUUCCAGGGUAUUUGAUACGAUAGUUACAUUGUUAGAAAGCAAAACAAAAUUUUGAUUUUGACAAACUUAGAGCACUGUGUUUCACUUGUCAUUCAAUACAAGAGGGUAAAUUUUGUGAUUAUGACUGUAUGAGCGCAUCAUGGGCUGCCGAUUCAGUCUUUGCAUCUGAGAAUGCAGCCCCUGCUUCUUCUAGUACCAACACCUUAUCUAGCCCCGCGGCUCGAUUUGCUUAUGUUCCGCAACAUCUGCGUAACAAGCCACGUACCAACCUCAUUUGAACCUCCUUCUUCAUCAUGGGAAGUUAUUGAUCUGCUAGUGGGCCCCACGGGGGCAGUGGUUCAAGGCCUGAUUUUGGGUAUAGUCAGGGUUAUGAUUCUGGUGGUAGAAGCAGCGGUAGUAUUUGGGGGAAGCAUUGAAUCUUAAUAUUAGAAGGUACGUACAAGUAUGUCAAACCCACUCCAGUUCAGCGUCAUGCAACUUCUAUAUUGGUUGCUGGGCGAGAUUUAAUGGCCUGUGCUCAGACAGGAUCGAGGAAGACAACUCCCUUUUGUUUUCCAAUUAUUAAUGGGAUAAUGCGUGAGUAGUAUAUACAGAGACCACGUGGAGCCCGAACUGUUCAUCCUCUGGCUAUGGUUUGGACCCUUUUAUGUUCUAUGUUUUCCUCACUUUUUUCAAUCCUAUUAAUAUUCAUUUUGUGUUGUCUUUUGGUUUUUGCUAAUGCAUCGAUGAAGCUACUCAGCUAGGAAGGAAGUUUUCCUUUCAAACUAGCGUCGAGGUAGUGGUUGCUUAUGGAGGAGGACUAAUGAACUAACAUGUUUCUAUUGUUUUUAUUCUUAAUUGUAUUUUUUGUUUUUCUUCUUUUAGAAAUUAUGAAAUCCUUGAAAAAAAAAACGUUUAUUUGUUACCUUAUAAAUAUUUUAUUUGAUGGUUUUAGGUGUUUUUCGUUGGACUGUCGUCGUCGUUUGUUAUGCUGUGUAUCUGUUUUUAAGUCAAAAUUUUAUUUAUAUUUUGUACUGCCUCCUAACUUAUUUUUGUAUUCAUUUUUUUAUUGUGUUGUCAGUUGCGAGAGCUUGCGAGAUGGGUUGAUAAUCUUAUGGCGACUUUAAGAAGAUUAGUUAAUCUACUUGAGAGAGGUAGAGUUUCAUUACAGAUGAUUAUUAGAUAUUUAGCUCUUAAAGAGGCAGCAGAUCAGACGUUGGAUAUGGCUUUAAAUCAGAAAAAAUAGUAGAGCAAAUUAAUGGAUAUGCAUGCCUCCUUCAGGUGUAGUAAGACAGACGAUGCUUUUGGUGUCGUAUUCCCGAAAGAGAUACAGGUUUUUAAUUUAUAUUUCCUAUAAUUCAAGUAGCUUCUUCGAUCCUUCUGAUUGUUGGAGGUGUACGUUGAUCUUUGCGAGACAUUUAUGAUUGGUUGUUGAGGGCUUACUAGUUACUACUAUUACUGCUCCUGUAGUUCUUUUGUUAAAACCAUUAAGGUGAUCAUUCAGUCUUAGUGCUUAAGACUAAUGAUUUUCUAAAAUGCCUUUGCACUACUAGCAAAUCCUAAUCAAAUCAUGGUUUUGGUUAUUUAUCGAUCACUCAUCAAGAUCGAUUAGACUUGUUUCAGCUAAUUCUAUAAAUUUCCAUAGGAAAAUGAAUUUUCUGUAAAAAAAAAAAAAAGAUUUUUUGAAUUUCCAUAGGAAAAUGAAUUUUCUGUACGAUCACUCAUCAAGAUCGAUUAGACUUGUUUCAGCUAAUUCUAUAAAUUUCCAUAGGAAAAUGAAUUUUCUGUAAAAAAAAAAAAAAGAUUUUUUGUAUAAAAUAUGUGGUUGAGCAUUCUUUUUCUCAUAAUUAGAUAAGAGAAGUCAUCUGAUGGACCUAUUACAUGUACAGGUGGAAAAUAUAGUUCAUGGGCAUCACUCCUUUUAGUUGCCUAUUGUAAUUAUGUAUUCAUUUAUUCUUUUGUUGCAGCAGUUUUGAUGGGAUCUCAUUCUUUGUAGAAUUUAUUUGUAUUAUUCAAAUUGCAUAUGGUAUUCCAUUCUGAUAUUCAAUUUGAUGGGUUGAAUUAUUCUUGGCUUUAUUACAAAGUAUUAUAAAUUGUGUUUUCUUAAUUGUAGAAAGCUUUGACAUUAGUUUACGUACGUACAGACAAAGAAAGGUGUUGAUGCAUUGGAACAAUGGUUGUAUACGGAUGGGUUUCCUGCAACUAUUAUUCAUGGUGAUCGCAGAACACAACAUGUGAGUUUGGCAGGAUCUAUAUGCAGCUAAAGGGACAAAAAAAAAAAAAGUUAGCUAGGUAGAAUCUCAUUUGUUAAGUAUAAGCUAAGCAUAUUGCAAGUAUUUAAGUCAUCAUGUUAAUUUGUAAUAGAAUCGUAUUAGACGGAGACACAAACUUGGCAAUACAAUAUAAGUAUUAUUGGUUGUUUUGACAUAAUAUUUCUGUCUGAUGUUUUGUUUUUUGUAUGUAGUAGGAAAGAGAACAAGCGAUAAGAUCAUUUAAAGAGUGGAAAUUAAAGACACCAAUUUUAGUAACUACAGAUGUGGCAACACGUGAUCUUCAUCAUAUACCACAUGUAGCUAGCUCCUAUAGUCAACUUUGAUCUCCCUAGAUAAUGACAUUGAUGAUUAUGUACGUCGGAUACGAAGGACAAGAAAAGCUGCAGGCAAAUCAAGAUUGGCUAUAUAGCCAUUUUUAACGAGAACAAUUUGUCACUGCAAGGUCUCUACUCUAGCUGAGCUAAUGAAAGAAGCUAAUUAGCAAGUGUCUGCUUGGCUUUCUCGUUAUACAUCACGGGCUAACUAACAAUGGCAGUGGCAAAAAUAAGCGACCUGGAGAAAAUCGUUUUAGUGGCCAAUCGUGACUUUAGAAAAGACGACUAAUUGAAUCAGCUUAGCAGAGGCAGAAGCAAUCCUUUGGGGUCUGCAGGUGGCUAAACAAGUUUCUUCAUCUAGCUUGAUAGUAGAAUCUGAUUGUAAAGAAGUGGCAGAGCUCCUAAACAACACUAAGGGCAGUAUAACAGAAAUUCACUGGAUAUUAUCUGAUAUUCAUAGGGAAAGUAAGGAAUUCUAGCAAGUCCAAUUUUCUUUUAUCCCUAGAACCUGUAAUACUUAUGCCCAUGCCUUAGCAAAGUUUGCUCUAAGGAAUUCUUCCACUGAUGUCGGGGUUGAUACAUUUCCAGCUGAAGUGCAGAAUGUAAUGAAUUGUGUUGUUUCCUAAGGAAUGAAAGGUUUACUUUCUUUUAAAAAAAAGAAAAGAAAAGACGACUAAUUUACUAAAGGCACAUCUAAUGACUAUUAAUUACAGUGGAGUACUGAACAGUAGUAUCAAUGCAUAUAAUAGGGUUCCAAGUGGUGGGGGAUAUAUAUAGUUACAGCAAUCCUGGUCAUGUGAUUAAAAUGAAAUGUCUUUACUGUUCGCCUGAUUAUUAUUAUAAAUAUUUGUCUUUUCUUCAAAAAAAAUUCUCUUUCCAUCUUUGUCUACUUUUUUUAUCUGUAGUUUGUUCAGUCUCUAAUUUAGGAAUUCUUUUUGAAGAAUUUUUUUUUUCAAUAAUGUGUUAUUAUUAAUUUUGAGGAAAAAUUGAUGUUUAAUUAUAAAAUUUAUCCAUGUAUUGCAAAUCUAUAUAGACUAGUUGUUUUUUUUUUUUUCUUCACUUGGGAAUUGUCAGUAUUCUCUCGCUUCUUAUUUCUUUUCUCAACUCAUCACGAUAUUUGCAAAUUUAAUAGAGAAUAUAUUUUUCUUAUACUCUGUCUGCGCUAGGCUAAAAAUGGGCAAAAGUACACUUGACUAAAAAAAAAAAAACUGGCAGUUGAUUUUUGCAAUGGCCAGCGAGCCACUUGAUUGUUUAUGCUAUGUACUCAUCAAAAUAUUCGAUGUGGUACAAUUAUAAAAUUGAAUUUUGUAUCUGUUUUAGUCAAUUCAAAAUCAUUAAUAACGAUCAUUUUUUUUAAUUCUUGAACAUAGAUAUAUUAUAAUUAGAAGUCUAUUGAUAAUUAAGUUAGACAUCCACUGGGAUCAUUUUAGCCAAGGUUUAAUAUUUAAUAUUUUCUCUUGUUGUUGGGUUAUGUAAUCAAUACGACUGUUCAUUUUGCUUAGAUCUUUAUAGUCCCCGGGUGAAAAAUUUCAGCUUUGUUAAGCAAGUGUUUCAUAGCAAAAACUUUAGUAGGGGGAUUGCCAAUUUCCCCCUUAUUAAAAUCAGUAUAUACCACUUACCACCCUAUUAUUUUUAUAAUGAUCAAUUACCACCCUGCCGUUAUAACAGUAAUUGAAAAUGAGGAUAAGAAUGUCAUUUAACUAUUAUUUUUUGAAUUUUAAAUUCUAUUCUGACAUGUGAUGUAAAAAAUUAGGUUUUAACACAAUAAAAUAUAAACUUAGAUGAAAAUAAAAGGUUUUUAAAGUAAAUUUACCCAAAAGAGAAAGUGGCUUUUUAUUUUCUUUACUUCUUAUCAGUUCGGGUGUCAGAGAAAAAGUUUCAAAAUCAAAUUUUUUUCAACUGUCUUUUCGCUAAAGCAUUUGUGUACAUGUGGAGAUGAUUCUAUUACCAUUCCAGGUUAGUGAAUGCUUAAAAGCACACAUUUAAUACAACCGAAAUUUUUAUCUUUAUUUACUAAUUGUUGUCUGUUGAUGCUGAAGUGAUAAUGUUAUGGGUAUUUUCAGAAAAAAUUUCUGAUAAAUAUAUUUAGGCCUAUAAAUAAUAUGGAUGCUAAGUAAUCGGUAUUCUGGUUUUUUAUUUUAAGGAAUAACUCAUUUUUGUAUUUUUUUUAAGUGUACGGAUUGAUGUUGAAUUGGGGAAAAAAAUUGGCUUUGUUUAUGUUUUAAGGUAUUCUUCUUUAUAAGUGUUAAAGAAAAUUAUUUUUUUAAUUGUUAGUUAUUUUGAAUCAUGUGCCUGAAUUAAAAAAAAAUGUUAAUUUUUCUUUUCUAAGUAUCAUGAUUUGAAUAUUUGUAUUGACAGAUGGAUCAAAUACAUGUCAAGGUUCACUUUGAUGGUAAACUAAUUGACCUAGGUGAAUAUGAGAUAGAAUGUUUAAGCUUGGUGGCUCUAAUUAAUUAUGUUAUGGAGAAAGUAGUUAAUAGACAUCGGCUGGAUGAUGAAAAGUUCAUGAUAAUGGCUCAAAUUCCUUCUUCAGGUGCUAAGCAGUUACUAGAGACUGACAUGGAGUUGUUGAGUUUUGUGAACCUAAUGCUAUCUAGAAAAAUUACUUUAUUACUUCUAGAAAUGAAGUCAUUGCCAUUGGAGGCAAUGCAAUCAGACAUUCUUGAAAAUCAUCAAACAUCUUUUAUUCCUGAAAAUUCUUCUGAAAAUACUCUUAAAAGGAUGUUUGAGGCUUAUGAGGAAGACAAUAAACCUACAAUGGCAGAUGCAAUUCAUCAUGAACAAGUAACUAAAUGGACUGACAAACCAUUAGACAAUGAUGAUAAUGAACCAUUAGACAAUGAUGAUGCCAACAGUGUGGAUUCUAUAAAUUGGACUGAUGAUGAAAUUGGGGAAAUUGUGAAGAUUGACAAUGAGGAUGUACAAAACAUAAUAGAUUCUAGUGAUAAUUCUGAUUUUGACAAUAAGGCACUUCUAUCUGAUUAUGAAAGUGGUGAUGAGGAUACUUCACCUGAUGACUUUCAUUUGAACUUAGAUGAAGAUAGUAUUCAGAUGAUGGCCAGAGAAUUAAGAGCACAAAGGUUCAAACAAAUGGCUAAUGAAGAAAUCAUAUUGGAGGUUGGUCAGGUGUUUUCUACUGUAGACAAAUUCAGGAGUGUCCUUAAGGAAUUUGCAAUCCAACAAGGUUGUGUUCUACACAUGGAGAAGAAUGAGAGGGCCAGAGUCACUGCUUUAUAUGCAAACAAAAGAUGCAAGUGGAGAAUUCAUGCUUUAUUGAUGGUAGAUAAAAUUUGUUUCAUGAUCAAAACAAUCAAAGGUGGAGCGCACACGUGCAUACCACUUAUUAAGAACCCUGAGACAACCAGUAAAUGGGUGGCUGAGAAAUUAUUUGGUGUAAUUAAGUCAAAUCCUAGGAUUUCUUCAUCUUCUAUAGCUUCUGUAUUAUUAAAUAGAUUUGGUACUGCUACAAAUAGGAGAAGGCUAUACAGGGCCAAGAAAAGGGUAUUAAAAAUGUGCGAUGGUGAUUAUAUUAACUCAUAUGCGCUACUAAAUGAUUAUGCCAAUGUUUUGCUUAUGACUAACAACGAUGCAAUAGUAAAAAUUAAUCAAGAAUUGGUUGGAAACGAGAAUAAAUUUAAGAGAAUUUUCAUUAGUUUCAAAGCUCAACAACAAGGGUUCAUGAAGGGGUGCAGAGGAUUCAUUGGUUUAGAUGGUUGCCACUUGAAGACAUCUUUUGGAGGCAUUUUGAUUUCUGUUGUUGCUUUAGAUGCAAACAAUGGUGUUUUUCCUUUGGCUGUGUGUAUAUGUGAGGUUGAAUCGAGGGAGAGUUAGACAUGGUUUCUGGAACUAUUUAAAGAGUAUAUGGAUAUCCACAAUGAUAUGGCUAUCUCAUUUAUGUCUGAUAGACAGAAAGGUUUAAUUCAUGCUUUUCAAUAUGUUUUUCCAAGUUUUGAAACUAGAUAUUGUGCAAGACAUGUGUAUGCCAACUUUAGAAAACAACAUUCAGCUGAGAUUUUGAGGGAACACUUUUGGAAAGCGGCAAGAGCCACUAACAAGACUGACUUUGAUGAUGCAAUGACAGCAAUAAACAAAAUUGACGAAAAUGCUUACAAGUGGCUAGUUGACAAUGAUCCAAGCACAUGGUCAUGCCAUCAUUUUGACCCAUUCUACAAGACUGAUCAUGUGACAAAUAACAUGUCAGAGUCAUGGAAUAGUUAUCUAAAUGAGUAUAGAAGGAAACCGAUUUUAGAGGUUCUUGAAUUUAUUAGAAUGAAGCUUAUGAAAAUGAUGAUAAAGAGAUGGAGAAGUGUGAGGAUUGGGAGUCAAAUAUACCUCCACAAGUACAAAAAAAAAUUGCUAAGAUUGCCAAGGCUGCAAGACGUGUGUCAAUUAUAAAAGCAAGCAAAUAUCAAUUUGAACUUGUAGAGAUUAUGCCUGACAUGGAAAGGCACUAUAUUGUGGACUUGAACAAAUGGUAUUGUGAGUGUGGUGGGUGGCAGAUGAGUGGGCUUCCAUGCAAGCAUGCCAUGGCUGGAAUUUUACAUAGUCAUGGCGAGCCAUCUGAUUAUGUUGACAAGAGCUUAACAAAGGAGGCAUAUCUGCUUACUUAUUUAGCAACAAUUAAUCCCCUUCCAGACAGGACUAAUUGGCCUAAAAUUGAUAGGCCAAUUUUAAAGCCUCUUGUAAAAAAAGUUCAACCGGGGAGGCCUAAGUUGAAUAGAAGAAAAGAAGUGAAUAAAGCAAAAAAGAAACCAUUUUAUAAGAGAAGAUUCACUGUGAAAUGCAACAUAUGUCAUGAAAUGGGGCACAAAAAAAAAAAAAUGCCCAGCUUACAAGGUAUAAAUAUUAAAUAUUAAUAAAUUCCGAAAUAAAAUUUUAUUGAAUUGAUGUAGCUUUUGACAUUGUAAAAGGAGAAGGAUGUUUGCUCAAGCUCUGCGAAUUACCAAGCGCUAGCAGAACGAGAAGCUCUACCAGUAGGAGCAGGUAGUGGACUAACCUUAAAAAGUGCCUAUAUUUAAUGUUUGUGAGUAAUAGUAAUAUUUUUUUCAGGAACAAAUAAAGCUCACCAAUUAAUUGGACAACAACAAUUAUCUACAUCCAUUAAAGUGAAGCAAAGUAAAGUAAGGUCUAUGCAGGCUUCACAAGUACAAAUUAAUCAAGUAGUUGCACAAGCACAACCUGAACAAGCACCAGGUAAUAUUUAACCUCUAUGUUAAUUCCUUAUUUUUAUGUCCAUGAAUAAUAACUAAAUUAAUACUUUUUAGGAAUAUAUGGACCUCAAAGUACAAUUGGACAACAACAACCUGCAUAUAUUAUAGUGAGGCAAAGGAGGGCUACACAAGGGCAUGAUCAAGGAACUGGUAACAACAACAAUAAUGGGGUUAUUAAUACCGAGCCUAUUCUAAAAAAAGUCAGAAAAGAGAGCAAAGAUAGGUUGAAUGCAACUCAACCAUCAGCUUCUAUACCCGAUGGCUUUGGUGGUUGCAUGUAGUAUCUAGUAAAAUAUGAUAUCUAAUUAGUUUUGUUAACUAUUGUAGUAGGGGGUAAAGGUGGCUUCAUUCGUUGGGUAUGUGGCAAUAAAAUUCAUACCCAUUUGAAUAUUGUGUUUACUUUUGGUCAGCUAUGAUGGAAUAUUCUUAUAUUAUGAUUACAUUUAGCUUAUAUGUCAUUGAUGUGUCAAACGAUUACUCCUUGAUUUUGAUUAUAACGAAGAUAUAUAAUUUUUUUUUUGGCAAUGCGGUAAGAUUUUGUUGGAUUGUUUUUGUAAUAAGUGAUUGGGUAUUUAUAUUUUUGCAAGAUUAUAAUUGUGGAGACAUAAAUGGUUGAAAUGAUAGAAUAUUCGGGAAUGUUUGUGCAAGGAAUGUGGUUUGACAGAAAUGACGCAAAUUAGGCUAAUUGCAAUUGUGUUUUACGAGUAUAUAUAGCUUGAUUCAUGAAAUUAGAAAAUAAACGUUAGUCUUCCUAUUAAUAUUCAUUUUUUCAAUCCAUAUAUUAAUGGCAAUGAAGUCUUUUUGACUCUAAAAGUAAGGGCACUUUUAAAAUUUCACUUUGUUAUAUAUCAAUUAAAACAUGUGGGUCAUUGUGUAAUUUUAUCCACUAGAGCUAAGAAAAUUGGCGCCAAUCUCCUGUCAUUUGGACACUAGGGGCAAAUAGGUAAAAGUACUUAAAAAUUGAGCAACUUCUAUUAUUGUUAUAACGGCAGGGAGGAAAUUGGUCAUUAUGAAAAUAGUAAGGGGGGAAUUAGUAUAUAAUGAUUUUAAUAAGGGGGAAAAUGACAAUCUCCCUUUUUAGUAGUUGUUCAAAUUUUGAUUGUUAGAAUCUAUCUAAUAAAGAACUUACUUGCAUAGCCAAGUGCAAAAUCUUAUCUCCAAAAUUAACAUGGUAAGAACAAUUGCCACACUCUAGAUAUUAUUGGGAAAGUCAUGGAUUACUUAUUUUAUUUAUUUAUUUAUUUUUAAAUGAAAAACUUUUAUUAAACACUUGAAAAGAAAGACAUUCACGAGUUGAAAUUUUCUCUAACCAAAUUACACAGCUUGAAUUGCUAACAACAUAUUGAAUUGGUAACAACAUAUUUUGCUAAUCUAUGAGCAAUUAUGUUACCACUUUUCAAGACAUGAUUGAUUUUGAAGUGGUCUUUUACACAUAUACAAUCUUGAAUCUUGCAAAUUAACUAAGAUAUUUCCUUCAAGCUUCUAUUUGACCUAUUCACCAAGUUGAUAAUGGUCUUUGAGUCUGAUUCAAUAAUUAACGGUACUGAACCAAUGUCUACUGCUAUUUUAAUUCCAAAAUCUAUAGUUUCAGCUUUAGCAUUUUCAACAUCGCCAUGUAUUGCUUAUUGUUCAACAAAAAAACAUAUAUCUUCUUGUUGCGUAUAAUUUCACAAGCCCUAAUAAAUUUAUAACAUCAUGUGCUAAAUGUUUAAAAAAUUAUCAUUAAUAAGUGUUUUUAUUUAGAUAUACUAGAGCUUCAUUAGAAGUUUUUUUUUUUAAUUUUACUCUUCAAAUAUUUAUUUGUUUAUUUAUGUGAUAAAUAAAAGAGUGAAAAAAUAAAUUCUCUCUUAAAAGACUCUUUAAAAAAAUAAAUUUAUAUUAUUUUAAUCAUAUUUUUUCUUUCAUUAAAAUAUUAGCAAUUAUAACACUUCACUCUCUUUAUGAAUAAUGAGGUAAAAAUAAUUUAAUGUAAAAUUAGAGGCUUUAGAAGAUUCUUUAAAUAAGAUUCUUCAAAUAUUAAAAAGAGGGGACCUUCUUAUUUAAAAAAAUAUCAUUUAAAGAGUUUUUUGAAAUUCUUUUUAUUAAUGUGGCUCUUCAAAUAAUAUGUAAAAUCCUAUUUAAAGAGUCUUUACUAAUACUCUUAGAAUAUAUAUAUAUAUAUAUAGAUAAGUCUUUCUCUAGUGCGGACCUUCAUUUUUUUUCAUGCAGACAUACUUUUAAACCAUGAGGUUUAAAAAAGUUAGUUUUUAACUCUUUUAGACUCCACGGUUUAAAAGUGUGGUUGCAUUAAAAAAAAAAAAAAAAGAGGGCCUUCAUUUUAUUAGAUUGAGGAUAUCAGUAAAAUACCAAAAAAACACAUAUUUUAAUACACUAAUAGACAAAAAAUAUAAUCUUCAAUGUAUUAAAAUCUGUAAUUUUUUUUGUAUUUUAUUGAUAUUCUCACUAUAUCAUAUAGUACAAAUGUUUGAUGUAAAUAUUGUUAAACAUAUAGAUUUUAAGUGAAUUAUUAGAUAACCCAUUUAAUUUUCAUGUUGGGUUAGGGCUUCAAAAUUUUGUCAUGAUUAUUAAAUGAGUCAUGUUUAAGUAAACCCAAAUUUAACAUGUCACAAACAUAACCCAGUAACUCGUUUUGCUAACUCUUUGUUUCUUUAUCUUUCUCUGUGUGUGUUAAUACUCUUUUAUUGGCAAAUGUUAUGUUAUAUAAUAAGAUAACAAACAUAAAAAUAUAAGAAUCGUUGGAUGCGAAGUUUAAAAUCUAAAUGACUGGAAGUGAAAGCUAAAACUAAUAGAGGAGUUGUGGGAAGUUGGAACAAAAGGUGUGGAAACUGACUCAUCUACGAGUGAAACGGUAACUGCUAACUAUGACAUAUUGAAUACAUAAAAAGGUAAUAGAAAUAAAUAUUUGCUUGGUCUGAAGUGAUAGAAUUUUCGAAUUGUGUGUAAAACUUUUAGUAGAGGUUAGUUUAAUAAGUGGAAAAGCUUUGGUAGGGGAAAAAAGAUAAUAGGUAUGCUUGGUUUUAAUGGAUGAAGUCCUUCGACCUUAGAAAAAUUGACUAAGAAAAAAGAUUAAAUUAAUGUGCAACAGGAUUACACUGGAAAUUGAUUCAUGGUUCUGAUCUAAAUUAGUGAGAUCAUACAAACAAUGGAAGGUAAUUUAUCAAGGAGGUACGAUUCCAGGUGGGCAUUGACUUGUAAGGGUCAAUGAGAGUUCACCAUCGAACUCAACAUCUACAUGCCAUGCAUCCACAUUAUCACAUUAUUAAUCCUCAUCAAGGUUCUUCAGUUCAUCCCUCAAUUCACGAGGGAUUUCCUUUCACAAUUGGGAUUAUGCAAAGUUUUGAUCAUACCAUUUCCAUGACUGAUUGUGAUAAAGGGGAGAAAGGAAAAAACUUGUUGAGUAACGAUGAUGAUCCGAGCUUGACUGGGGAGGGUGGUGAAGUUCAUAAUGAUGCUGCUGGCAAAGGAAAGAAGGAAUCACCUUGGCAGCGCAAGAAAUAGGGUAAUAAGAUGGUGAAGCUUUUAAUUAAUGUUGUGUCUUAUGUGUGAGGACACAAGUUUGGAUUGUGGUGAUGGUGCGAGAAGGAAGCUUGUAGUUUUAUAUUUGUUACCUCAUUAUGUAAAUAGCAAGCUCCUCUUUUAUUUUGUGUACAUGAUUUUUAACACCGCACUUGUUUUUUUUUUUUAAAAAAAAAAAUCAGAAGUUUUAAAAUUUUUUAUUUUGACACUAAAAAAGUUAUUACGAGGUUUCAAAAUGUCAUUCUUAUCCUUACCAUUUUUAAAAGACAAAAAAGGACAAUUUAUUUUUUUUCUUUUAAUCUUCAAUUCUACCAAUGGACAGUACAAUCGACUUUGCAGUUUGCAUCUUAAACUUCACUUUGGACUAUUCUUACUCUAACCAUAUUUAAAGGACAAUUUUUUUCUUUUUCAAUUUUACCAAUGGAAGACACAAUCAACUUUGCAUUUCAAAUUUCACUUGGAUUGUUGGACAUAUCUUUUUUGAGUUAAAAUAAAAUUUAUUCUAAUUAAUACUAGGGAGAUUGUCAAUUUUUCAUUGCUAAAAUCAAUGUACAUCAUUUACCUUUUAAUAGUUUUUAUAAUAUCCAAAACUUAUACGGCAUAAAAAAUUUACAAUAGUAGACGGUAAAUGGGUUAUUUAUUUGAUAAUUUAUCUUGAAAAUAUAAAAUAUAUAUUUAUUAUAAAAGUAUUUAAAAAUAAUAAAAAGAUCUUGUUAUUAUUUUUUUUGUUCAUACAACCAAAGCAUAUAUAUUGUUAUUUUAGUACUCAAAUUUUUUAUUUUAAUUCCUAUUAAUAGGAUUUAUUUAAUUUAUAAUGUUUUAUUUUAUAAUAAAUAUGAAUAAAAUAUAUUUAAAAACGAAGAUAAUAUUAUAAAAUUAUGUUGUCAAAAAGUUGUUGACUGAUAUGAUAAUAGUAAGGGAUUAAUUAAGUGAUAUAUGUUCACCUUAGCGGGAGAGUUGACAAUCUCCUUUAUUGUCAUCUUGAAUGUGUAGCCGUUGUUUAUUUAGAAUCAUUUCUGACGAUUUUGCCCUUCUACCAUUAUUUGAUUAAAGGUCAACGACAGUCAACGGAUCUAAGUAUAAAAACAUUGAAACAAACAGGACUUAUGUGUCAAAAUAUUCAAACCUCUGUAAUGUUGUUAUUUUAUAGCAAACAACAGGGAUCGCACCAUAAAAACAGUUUUUUUUUUUUUUUUUUAUAUAUAGAUAUUUUAAAAUUAUAAGGAAUCUCCCUGUAUGGUGCACGCAACCACAACACAAGCAACGAAAAGAAGAAGAAAAAACGAAGAAAUAGAUUUGAUUUUCAUCUGAUUUUUCAAACGAAGGUAAACUUUUUUUUUUCCACAUCUUAAAAAUUAAAAAAAAAAGAUAAAUAUCUCUCUCGUUAUUUCAUAUUUUAACCGAAACUUCUGCUUCGUGUCGGAUCGAAAAAUUAGGGUUUCUUUUCUGUAUUUACAGAUUUACGCCUCGUAGUUCUUCGAAUUUAGACCUCGAGCCUUGUUGAAGCACUCGCAAAUUUUUAUUUGUUUUCGUUUGCGUUUUUGUGUUGAAAAUUUGUUUUUGGUUCGUAAUCGCAUUGUAUGAAUGUUGUCGUUUCUGAUUGUGCUGAUUUUGUUCUCUUAGUAUUGAUGCAUGCAUUUGUUAGGAUUUUAAUUUACUUGCGGCAUAUGGUACAAUAUUAUUUAAAUUUUGUCGAAUUGUUUAACUUUUUUUUUACAUUUUUAUUUAUCGUGUUGUACAUUUCGUGGUCCUUGUACUAUCUAUUUUACUUUGUUUCGGUUUGUUAGCUUGAUUGUAGAUGCCUUCUGGUUUUUCAGAUUUUUGAUCUGCUAGCUAAAUAGUUAGGAAGCAAACGAGAAAUUUCGAUUGAGAAACGUGGAGCAUUGUGUGUUAAUUGUUAAAACAAGGGGAGCUAAAAUUUGGGAAUUAUGAGCACUUCAUGGGCUGAUUCAGUGUCUGCAUCUGAGAAUGCGGCCCCUGCUUCUUCUAAUAUCAGUGCCUUACCUCGUCCCACUCGAUCCACUUAUGUUCCGCCACAUCUCCGUAACAAGCCACCAACCUCUUCUGAACCUCCUGCUUCGUCACGAGAAUCUACUGAACCUGCCAGUGGCCCCGGCUGGGGCAGUGGUUCGAGGCCCGAUUUUGGGCGUGGUCAGGGUUACGGCUCUGGUGGUAGAAGUGGCGGUGGUUGGAAUAAUAGAAGUGGGGGUUGGGACCGAAGGGAACGUGAAGUGAACCCGUUUGGUGAUGAUGUUGGUGCAGAGCAGCCGGUUGCUGAAGAAGAAAACACGGGUAUUAAUUUUGAUGCUUAUGAGGAUAUUCCAGUGGAGACAAGUGGAGAAAAUGUGCCACCGGCAGUUAAUACAUUUGCAGAAAUUGAUUUGGGGGAAGCUUUGAAUCUUAAUAUUAGGAGGUGCAAGUAUGUCAAACCGACGCCUGUUCAGCGUCAUGCGAUUCCUAUAUCGAUUGGUGGGCGAGAUUUAAUGGCCUGUGCUCAGACAGGGUCGGGGAAGACAGCUGCCUUUUGUUUUCCAAUUAUUAGUGGGAUUAUGCGUGAGCAGUACGUACAGAGACCACGUGGAUCGCGGACUGUUUAUCCUCUGGCUCUUAUUCUUGCCCCCACAAGAGAACUCUCGUCUCAGGUAGGAUUUUUGUUUGGACUACUGCACUUUUUCAAACUGGGUAACAAUCAUUUUGUGUCAUUUAUGGGUUGCAGAUCCAUGUUGAAGCCAAGAAAUUUUCCUAUCAAACUGGUGUCAAGGUGGUGGUUGCUUACGGAGGAGCACCAAUCAACCAACAGGUUUCCAUCGUUCUCAUUCUUGAUUGUAUUUUUGGUUUUCUUCUUUUGAAAAUUAUGAAAUCCUUAACAUUUUGGUCCCUGUCUACUUUGUUAGGUGUUCUUUAUUUGUUUUAUCUGGUUUAUUAUGUACUAAAAUUACAACUGCUUGACAUAAAUUUGUGACUAAUUAUUUACUUUUCUUCAACUCAAAAUAUCUUCUUUUUGAAUUCAUAAACUGCAGAAAUUGCUUUCAGGAUGUCUGUGUUGCAACUAUUACCACUGCUGAAAUUUGGGAUUGAUGCAAAUUGAACUGAUAGCUUUUCUCUUAUGUUUGCCGAUGGAGUUCUGACAUUUAUUUGAACUUUCUUGUUAUUUCUCUUUUCUUUUCUUUCUUGUUAUUUCUCUUUUCUUUUCUUUUUUUUUUUUUUUUUUGGGUGAUAUGUUGGAGAUAUAACAAUGUGGUUUGCAUUUCUUCGUUGUUGUCAAAGAUUUUGGAGCCAUGCUUAGAGUCUUUUUUGAUUUAUUGAUCAUUGCUUUGAUUUGGACUGGAAUGGAUGUUGGUGGCCAUUUCGGCUGUGAAUGUUUCUAUCUUCUGUUGGUCGCUGUAACCUUGUCUGAAGUGUAAAAGAUGGGUGAAUUUUUGUGUUAAUAAAAUAGAGGGACAGCUUUCGAUUGACAAGAUUCUUCUCUAUCCGAGAGAGGAUGUAGGAAUGAUGUGUUGCUUUUUUCUUUUGGACAGUUUAUGAUGUUUGUUAUAUUGGUUCACUAGUAAGAAAUGCAAGCUCAUUUGCUGAAUGGUAUCACAUGACCUUUUUAAUUAAUUUUUUUUUUUAACUUAUAAAUUUAUUAUUUGAUAGUAUUAGCUGUUUUUCAUUGUACUGCCUUUGUCUUGAUGCUAUAUUAGUCUUCAAAUUGAAGAUUUUUUAAUAUUUGUUCUACCUACCUUUGUUUUGUAUACUGAUUUUUUGUUGUGUUGUCAGUUGCGAGAGCUUGAGAGAGGGGUUGAUAUUCUUGUGGCAACUCCAGGAAGAUUGGUUGAUCUGCUUGAGAGAGCUAGAGUUUCAUUGCAGAUGAUUAGAUACUUAGCUCUCGAUGAGGCAGAUCGGAUGCUGGAUAUGGGUUUUGAGCCUCAAAUCAGAAAAAUAGUGCAACAAAUGGAUAUGCCUCCACCUGGUAUGAGACAGACAAUGCUUUUCAGUGCCACCUUCCCGAAAGAGAUACAGGUUUUUAAUUUAUAUUUUCUAUGCAAGUUGUUUUUAUCUUUACAAUCACUGGUGGCAUCGAUCUUCAUGUGACAUUCAUGAUUUUCUGUGGAGGGGUUACUACUACUACUACUACCACCUAUUACUAUUACCAUAGUUCAUUUAGUAAAAGUAUUAAGGUUGUUCAAUCUUGGUGCUCGAGACAGUUGAAUUUCUGCCAUGUUUAGUGCUGCUCAUCCAAUCAUAAUCAAAUCAUGGUUUUGAGUCCUUAGGAGGUCCAAUGUUGGGUGGGUUGGAGUUGUGAAAGCUACUUUUAUCCAUUUCAAUAUGAAAAUGAAUUUGCUGUAACAGAGAUAUGUUGUAUAAGAUGUAAUGUUGAAGAGGUUUUCUCCUUUGCAGUGGGAGUUUAUGAUAGAUGUUGAAAUGAGAAUUGGUGUCAAUUCAUCUGACAAUUUUCUUUUGCAAUUUUCUUGGCACGCAGAGAUUGGCUUCGGACUUCCUAGCAAAUUAUAUUUUUCUGGCUGUUGGAAGGGUUGGUUCAAGCACUGAUUUAAUUGUUCAAAGAGUUGAGUUCGUUCACGAGUCAGACAAAAGAAGCCAUCUGAUGGACCUCUUGCAUGCACAGGUGGCAAAUGGAGUUCAUGGCAAGGUAAUUUAAAUUUUGAGUUGCCUAUUUUAGUUAUGUAUUAUUCUUUAUUCUCUGUUUCUAGAAAUUCUGUUUGAUAUUCAAACUGUCUUGAACAACGGUAUGCAUUCUGAUUUAAUUUGAUGGGUUGUAUUAGUUGGCUUUGGUUUGAAGUUAAAUUGCUUUUCCUUUAAUUGCAGCAAGCUUUGACAUUAGUUUUUGUUGAGACAAAGAAAGGUGCUGACGCAUUGGAACACUGGUUGUAUACGAAUGGGUUUCCUGCAACUACUAUUCAUGGUGACAGAACACAACAGGUGAGUUGGUCGGAUCUAUACUUUUGAAGGAAAAAAUUAGUUAGAAUAUCAUUUUUAACUAGAAGAUUAAUAUGAAUAUGCAUGUAUUUUGCUAUUUUUUAUUCAGCAUGUUUUUGCCAGAACAUUAUUAUUGCCUUUGGGGUUGAAAUUGGACUUCUUCUCUUCUGUAACAUUAUUUUGUUUCAAUUUAAUAUUUAUUUUUCCUGAUUGUAAUAGGAAAAUAUCCCUUUGAAAUUUCUUAGUUCAUUGCGUUCUGUUCCUUUUGUCGUGCAGUCUGCUUUGGCCAAGCAGUAGCUGUUAUGACUUGGACAUAAUAAUUCUGAUCUUAUGUUUUUGUGGGCAGGAAAGAGAACUAGCAUUGAGAUCAUUUAAGAGUGGAAAGACACCAAUUUUAGUAGCUACAGAUGUGGCAGCACGUGGUCUUGAUAUACCACAUGUAGCUCAUGUAGUCAACUUUGAUCUGCCCAAUGACAUCGAUGAUUAUGUUCAUCGGAUAGGAAGGACAGGACGAGCUGGGAAAUCAGGAUUGGCCACAGCCUUUUUUAACGAGAACAAUAUGUCCUUGGCAAGGCCUCUAACUGAGCUAAUGCAAGAAGCUAAUCAGGAAGUACCUGCUUGGCUUAAUCGUUACGCAUCACGGGCUAAUUAUGGUGGUGGGAAAAGUAAGCGUUCUGGAGGAAACCGUUUUGGCGGCCGUGACUUCAGAAGAGACGGCUCAUUUACUAGAGGCACAUCUAAUGACUAUUACAGUGGGG